UGCAGUCGAACGGUGAAGCCCAGCUUGCUGGGUGGAUCAGUGGCGAACGGGUGAGUAACACGUGAGCAACCUGCCCUCCACUUCGGGAUAAGCCUUGGAAACGGGGUCUAAUACCGGAUAUGAGCUCGCAUCGCAUGGUGUGGGUUGGAAAGUUUUUCGGUGGGGGAUGGGCUCGCGGCCUAUCAGCUUGUUGGUGGGGUGAUGGCCUACCAAAGCGUCGACGGGUAGCCGGCCUGAGAGGGCGACCGGCCACACUGGGACUGAGACACGGCCCAGACUCCUACGGGAGGCAGCAGUGGGGAAUAUUGCACAAUGGGCGCAAGCCUGAUGCAGCGACGCCGCGUGAGGGAUGACGGCCUUCGGGUUGUAAACCUCUUUCAGCAGGGAAGAAGCGCAAGUGACGGUACCUGCAGAAGAAGCGCCGGCUAACUACGUGCCAGCAGCCGCGGUAAUACGUAGGGCGCAAGCGUUGUCCGGAAUUAUUGGGCGUAAAGAGCUCGUAGGCGGUCUGUCGCGUCUGGUGUGAAAUCCCGAGGCUCAACCUCGGGCUUGCAUCGGGUACGGGCAGACUAGAGUGCGGUAGGGGAGACUGGAAUUCCUGGUGUAGCGGUGGAAUGCGCAGAUAUCAGGAGGAACACCGAUGGCGAAGGCAGGUCUCUGGGCCGCAACUGACGCUGAGGAGCGAAAGCAUGGGGAGCGAACAGGAUUAGAUACCCUGGUAGUCCAUGCCGUAAACGUUGGGCACUAGGUGUGGGGCUCAUUCCACGAGUUCCGUGCCGCAGCUAACGCAUUAAGUGCCCCGCCUGGGGAGUACGGCCGCAAGGCUAAAACUCAAAGGAAUUGACGGGGGCCCGCACAAGCGGCGGAGCAUGCGGAUUAAUUCGAUGCAACGCGAAGAACCUUACCAAGGCUUGACAUGUACGAGAAAGCCCCCGAGACGGGGUUCUCUUUGGACACUCGUACACAGGUGGUGCAUGGUUGUCGUCAGCUCGUGUCGUGAGAUGUUGGGUUAAGUCCCGCAACGAGCGCAACCCUCGUCCUAUGUUGCCAGCGGGUUAUGCCGGGGACUCAUGGGAGACUGCCGGGGUCAACUCGGAGGAAGGUGGGGAUGACGUCAAAUCAUCAUGCCCCUUAUGUCUUGGGCUUCACGCAUGCUACAAUGGCCGGUACAGAGGGCUGCGAUACCGUAAGGUGGAGCGAAUCCCAAAAAGCCGGUCUCAGUUCGGAUUGGGGUCUGCAACUCGACCCCAUGAAGUCGGAG
rnacentral:rRNA from 1 species